GACGAACGCUGGCGGCGUGCUUAACACAUGCAAGUCGAACGGAAAGGCCCUGCUUGCAGGGUACUCGAGUGGCGAACAGGUGAGUAACACGUGGGUGAUCUGCCCUGCACUUCGGGAUAAGCCUGGGAAACUGGGUCUAAUACCGGAUAGGAGCCAUUUUUAGUGUGAUGGUUGGAAAGUUUUUUCGGUGUAGGAUGAGCUCGCGGCCUAUCAGCUUGUUGGUGGGGUAAUGGCCUACCAAGGCGGCGACGGGUAGCCGGCCUGAGAGGGUGGACGGCCACAUUGGGACUGAGAUACGGCCCAGACUCCUACGGGAGGCAGCAGUGGGGAAGAUUGCACAAUGGGCGCAAGCCUGAUGCAGCGACGCCGCGUGGGGGAUGACGGCCUUCGGGUUGUAAACUCCUUUCGCUAGGGACGAAGCUUUUUGUGACGGUACCUAGAUAAGAAGCACCGGCUAACUACGUG
rnacentral:rRNA from 1 species